GGUCCUGCUCGGCUUCCCCGGGAAGCCGGCCCGGAGCUUAGUGUUUCUUUGCGCAGCUCCAGCCUGGCUGCGAGGGCGGGGCGGUGAGGCCUCUGCCUCUGCGGACGGCUGGUACGGAGGGCAGGGCA